rfam:Hordeum vulgare subsp. vulgare, WGS project CAJW01000000 data, contig: morex_contig_69336
AAAAUACUCCCUUCUUCUCAAAAAUUUUGUCUUAAAUUUACCAAAGUAUGGAUGUACCUAGUCACGUUUUAGUAUUAGAUACAUUUGUAUCUUAACAAAUCUAACAUAAGAAUUUUGGGAUGGAGGUAGUAGAAG